GAUAGCAGAGACUUUGCUGACCAUGACAGAGAUAAGGGGAGGUCAUUGUUUGGAAUCCUCUUGCUACGGUUUUCUAACAUAUUGGGCUGAUAAAACCCUAAAUGUGUUUUUGCCCCAAGUACUUCUCUUAUUUUUUAAACCCAUACAUAUUUUGGAGUCAAUUUAAUCCAUAUGUUUCUGAUUAAUUUAUGCUUAGCUCAUCAAAAUGUUGUUUUAAGAAGAAAAGCUUAUAAAAAAAACAGAGUCAUGCUUCACCAGCCACUGAUGAAAUCAACUCCAGAAGACUGUAGCUUAGUCAGAAAAUCAGAUGGGCUAAGGGUCCAAUGGGUUCCAAAAUUUGGAAAUUCAUUACUAUGACCCCAGUGAAACUGAGUAUGUUCAACACUUGGGGGGAAAAAAAAUCUUAGUUUUUUGUUUCUGUGCAUGUGUUUGUUUUUGAUUUCUGAAUGUAUUGAUUUGUAUUUGGAUUAACUAUGGUCUUUUUUUUACUUAAUUGUUCAGCCAGCUUUCUGGUUGCUGUUCAUACAGUGAAGUGGGAAGAGUCUGGAAAAUGGUAUAAAAUGAUGAGUCUAUUUUCAUGGGACAAGAUGGCUCUGGGCAUGAGUCAUGGCUGUACGCUGGGAAGAUUCCGAUGGGAACCUUGCUCUUGCUGGUUGAUCCAUACCUUACAUGGACUUGAGGCCGUGCAUGGCUUUUAUUAACAUGUGCAUUUUGCUUGUUAAGGCUCGAGCUUCAUCUUUUCCUUCCCAACUCAAGCCCUGUUUGUAUUUCACACGCACCUGAUUUGGAAUCUGUGCUUGGGACUCAGAGUGGCUUGGGAACAGUAAUUUGGAACAUCUCUGAUUAUUUGUCAGCUAAAAUGGGAUGAUGUGUUCUCAGCUGCAGCUGGGAAAUGGGCUAUUUCUCUGCAGGGGAGCAGAUUCAAAUGGCAGACAAAGUUCCAAUUCUUUCAGCAUCUCUAUCUCCAUGGGGCAGGUUUGGUGCAAAGCAAUCUGUCCGUAGGCCAAGGAAGCUACAAACCACAGCACAGAUCUGUGCUUUGCUCAAGUGCGGGUAAGACUUGUUUCACAUACAGCCUUCAGAUGUGAUUUUCCUAGUGAAAAGUCCCUGUGCCAGAGCAGAUGUUCCUUGGAAAGAACACCGAUGUCUUUCGGGAGCCAAGGUGAAUGAACUAUAAGAGUGAUUCCUGAAGUUUUCCAGGUUAAAGCCAUUUCUGUCAUUGUCCUUGGCAUGCUUCUCAAAAUGUGUUCUAUAGCCUUACUUCGCAGACUUUAAUGUUCAUACAGAUCUCCUGAGGGCUUUGCUAAACUUUAGACUCUGUUUCAGAAAUUCUGAGGUGGGGGCUUGAGAUUCUGAAUUUCUGAUGUGCUCCAAGGGGCUGCUGAUGUGGAUCCACGUUGAUUCCCGAAUCCUACUUUGAAUAUCUUUGGGACACAAAAAGUUGGUCUUGCAAGGUGCUGUCUGAUAUAGAUUCUCUGGUCCAAUCAGUUCAAGAAAAAAAUACUUGUAUUUUUACCUUCCUCUUGAAAACUCUGCAAAUUAAAGACUGAGAAAAUCUGCUCUGAGGAAGUCUGAUACAAAACUAACAGACCAUAGAACCUAAUAGAACUAAUAGUAAAAUGAACAGAACAUAGAAUUUUAGGAUGCUAUCACCUAAUCUAGGGAAUUUGAUUUUUGUGAAAUGAAAAGAUGGUCUGAGGUGUGGUCUCUAUUCAAAUAUUUGUUCAGGAACUUGGGCAGAUUGAAGGGGGAUUUUAGAAAAUGUUUGACCUUCUUUGUAGUGACCUUUAUAACUCUUCUCAGGUGAGUGUUAAGUGGUUCUCCAAUCGAGAGAGGCUGUAACUCAGGCUCUCAAUGUCCCCAGUAGAAGAGUAAACUGUCUACUUAGAGUUUUCUUAUGAAAAAUGUACAGUGCUCUCUUCAAUCGACUUUAAAAAUUGUUAGGGCUUACCUGCUACCAUGCUCUUGUCGAAAUGCCAACUGAGAAAAGUGAUAUACAGGCAUGCGCUGCAUAAUGACAUUUCAGUCAACAAUGGACCACAUAUAUGAUGGUGGUCCCAUAAGAUUAGUACCAUAGAGCCCAGAUGUGGAGUAGGCUGUGCCACCUAGGUUUGUGUAAGUACACUGUAUGAUGUUUGCACAAUAAUGAAAUCACCUAAUCAUACGUUUCUCAGAACACGUCCUGGUCAUUAAGUGGCAUAUGACAGUUCAAGAAAGCUAGACUGGGGAGUUUAAAUACCCUUAACCAUCCUGAAUUGUUUGCAAAUUUCAGUGUGUCUAUGUAUCAAUCCUCUAACAAGUUCCCAUGAAGAUUCCUGGGCCUCUGCUCCAGAAAUGAUCAUCCUUUAGAUCGCGAGUAUAUUCUAAAAAUCUUCAUUUUAAUCAGCAUUCCCAGGGUUUUUUGAUGCAGGUGCUCUGAGGACCACAUUUUGAGAUCAAAUUCUGUUUCCUUGAAGUUAGAACACCAGUAGCCUGGCCAAAAACAAGCUUCCCCGUUUGGCUCGCUGAACAUUCACCUUGGUGAGUCAUGUUUCAGUAUUCUGCCCUGGAGUUUUACGGAGGGUAUAUAUGGCUGCGUGGGAAACUGUUAGCAUUUUCUCUAAAACUGUUAUUGAAGAUACUGUCAUUAUGUCAGAACGUCAGAAAAUUCUGCAAAAGGAGUAUAGCCUUGCUCCUGCAGUUUGAGCUGCAACCGCACUGGAACAGGGCAUUUCUAGACUUGUUUUACUGUAAAAGCAAAUGAAAAUUUUGCCGUUUAAUAAGACGUGUAUUUGUACUAAUAUAAACAUGCAACUUAUGUGAAUUUUACCCAAAAUUGUGAAAUUGAUGCUCUAAGUCAUCUGUGGCUCUAGGUAUACCCUCGGCAUAGCUCCACACUCCGGGGGUAUUUUACUCCAAAGCUUGAGAAUCAUCAUUUUAUCUUGUUUAGGGUCCUAGAAAUAAAGAAUAAAUAAAUAAAUGGGUAAAGAGGGUC
rnacentral:lncRNA from 1 species